UGGACAGGCCACUUACCUGGGGAUGAUGUCUACCCUAUCAAUAACGUAUCAAAGUUUAUCGCAUCAUUAAACUUAUAUGGACACGGUGGACACCAUUAUCUUUAUGGUGACAUAUAGUCGGGAUGGCUUGUCUUGCAGGACAAACUGUGUCUAUCUCAUACACUGAGCUAUCCCCGGACACAAUAUCUACCUUGAAUUCAACUUACGCGUGAUUUGGACUCACAUGCCAGUGGAUGCGAUAUUUACUCUUCCUCCCUCUCCUCCUAAUAAUACCAUCUGAUC